rnacentral:rRNA from 1 species
GAUGAACGCUGGCGGCGUGCCUAAUACAUGCAAGUCGAGCGAACAGACGAGGAGCUUGCUCCUCUGACGUUAGCGGCGGACGGGUGAGUAACACGUGGAUAACCUACCUAUAAGACUGGGAUAACUUCGGGAAACCGGAGCUAAUACCGGAUAAUAUAUUGAACCGCAUGGUUCAAUAGUGAAAGACGGUUUUGCUGUCACUUAUAGAUGGAUCCGCGCCGCAUUAGUUAGUUGGUAAGGUAACGGCUUACCAAGGCAACGAUGCGUAGCCGACCUGAAAGGGUGAUCGGCCACACUGGAACUGAGACACGGUCCAGACUCCUACGGGAGGCAGCAGUAGGGAAUCUUCCGCAAUGGGCGAAAGCCUGACGGAGCAACGCCGCGUGAGUGAUGAAGGUCUUCGGAUCGUAAAACUCUGUUAUUAGGGAAGAACAAAUGUGUAAGUAACUAUGCACGUCUUGACGGUACCUAAUCAGAAAGCCACGGCUAACUACGUG